GACGAACGCUGGCGGCGUGCCUAAUACAUGCAAGUCGAACGCUGAAGGAGGAGCUUGCUUCUCUGGAUGAGUUGCGAACGGGUGAGUAACGCGUAGGUAACCUACCUGGUAGCGGGGGAUAACUAUUGGAAACGAUAGCUAAUACCGCAUAAGAGUAGAUGUCGCAUGACAUUUGCUUAAAAGGUGCAAUUGCAUCACUACCAGAUGGACCUGCGUUGUAUUAGCUAGUUGGUGAGGUAACGGCUCACCAAGGCAACGAUACAUAGCCGACCUGAGAGGGUGAUCGGCCACACUGGGACUGAGACACGGCCCAGACUCCUACGGGAGGCAGCAGUAGGGAAUCUUCGGCAAUGGACGGAAGUCUGACCGAGCAACGCCGCGUGAGUGAAGAAGGUUUUCGGAUCGUAAAGCUCUGUUGUAAGAGAAGAACGAGUGUGAGAGUGGAAAGUUCACACUGUGACGGUAUCUUACCAGAAAGGGACGGCUAACUACGU
rnacentral:rRNA from 1 species